UCGUUUGCGACGCCCAACACACAAAACAAGCGGUGAGUGCUUUGGGGUGGGGUGACUGCGUACCUUUUGUAUAAUGGGUCAGCGACUUAUAUUCUGUAGCAAGGUUAACCGUAUAGGGGAGCCGAAGGGAAACCGAGUCUUAACUGGGCGUUAAGUUGCAGGGUAUAGACCCGAAACCCGGUGAUCUAGCCAUGGGCAGGUUGAAGGUUGGGUAACACUAACUGGAGGACCGAACCGACUAAUGUUGAAAAAUUAGCGGAUGACUUGUGGCUGGGGGUGAAAGGCCAAUCAAACCGGGAGAUAGCUGGUUCUCCCCGAAAGCUAUUUAGGUAGCGCCUCGUGAACUCAUCUUCGGGGGUAGAGCACUGUUUCGGCUAGGGGGUCAUCCCGACUUACCAACCCGAUGCAAACUGCGAAUACCGAAGAAUGUUAUCACGGGAGACACACGGCGGGUGCUAACGUCCGUCGUGAAGAGGGAAACAACCCAGACCGCCAGCUAAGGUCCCAAAGUCACAGUUAAGUGGGAAACGAUGUGGGAAGGCUCAGACAGCCAGGAUGUUGGCUUAGAAGCAGCCAUCAUUUAAAGAAAGCGUAAUAGCUCACUGGUCGAGUCGGCCUGCGCGGAAGAUGUAACGGGGCUAAACUGUGCACCGAAGCUGCGGCAGCGACGCUUAUGCGUUGUUGGGUAGGGGAGCGUUCUGUAAGCCUGCGAAGGUGUCCUGUGAGGGAUGCUGGAGGUAUCAGAAGUGCGAAUGCUGACAUAAGUAACGAUAA
rnacentral:rRNA from 1 species